rnacentral:lncRNA from 1 species
AGACAGCAAGGACGGAGUGUAUGGAUGGAUUUUCAGAUAACAAAGCACCGAGGCAGUAAGGUACAUGUUUAUUAUACUGUCUGUUGUAGUGGAUUACUCGAGAGAGUUAUCCAAUAAAUUUUUGUAAGUGUUGGAAACAACUGAGAGGUUUAUUUAAGUCAAUGGAUCCUGAUUCUGAAGUGAAGAAACGGGAAACAUUGACGAAGUGUAAUCCGAAGCGUAAGGAUAAUAAGCUGACUGAAGUUAGGAUUGAAUCAAGUGGCUCGAGGAAGCCAAGGAUGCUUCGGAAAAGUCUAAGUAAGACAAGGAACUGUCAAGUACAAUGAUGUCGGAUAUGAAGCCAAGGAGCUGAUGAGUUUAACUCUGUAUGGACAAGACGUCCAUAACUGAAUUUGGAAAUAAGACUUCAGCGGAAAGGUUCAAGGCAGAAUAGCCGAGUGGAUGAGCUGAAGGUUGUGAACGGAAACAGAGUUGGACAGGUGGUCCGAGGAUUGAGAUGGAAUCUCAAUGAACUGGCUAAUGCGAUAGAUGGAUUGCUGAGAGAUAACCUGAAAGAAUCAGGGAAUCGGAAAAACUGAAUUGGACAAGUCGUCCGUGGAAGAGCCUAAGGACUAAUGGCUAAGGCACUGAUGCUGGAAUGUGAAGUACAAAGACUUACAUUCGAAUGGAACGUCUGUUGAGAAUGCUUAGACGGAUUCAAAGAUUUUCAAGGUAAUGAACAAGCUGGCCCGGGAAAUUGAAACUGGAAGUUCCAUGGAAGGAUUCGGAAAAAUCUGCGUAAGACUUAUACAUAGCAAGUGGCAAGUGUAAGCAAGUCUGGAUAUAAAGAAAUGGACAAUGGAAUUGUCAAGACUGACUAAGCUUGAUUGUCUUAGUAGGUUUGUGCGGUCCGAGAGUUGGGAUCAUCGGAACAAGAGAUUGGAAGUCAGGUGUACUUGCCAAAGACUUGUUAAGUGAUCAAGAAACUACUUGGAGGUAUAAGAUGCUAUUGAUGAUGAGUUGUGGUCAGAGUUUCAAAAGUAGUAAAUGAUCGGUUCCUACCAGGAGCGUCUAGAUCAGACAAUGUACUUAGGGGCUGUGAUGCUUGCUAAGGCUUGCUGAAUUUUUGAUGAUGACUCGAAAAUUUGGGAUGAUCAUUUGAGUUUAGAUUAUUGAUUCCUUUCAUGUGAGAGUCUAGAUCAGUCUAGGUGCUUAUGGCUGAGAUGCUCAUUAAGACUUAGCUGGAUUGCUAGACGGCUGCUCGAUGACUUGGAAUGAUAAUGCUAGACUAGACUAAGUGUUUGAUCAACUGGACAAGUGGGAAUACUGAAACAUUAGUGUUAGUGGUGAUGAUAUGCCAUUAGAAACUGAAUGGGUUUGCUAAGGCAUAACUGUACAGAUACUGUCUGUUCUGGCAUCUAUGGAAACCGAGAGUUUCCAAGACGUGACUGUCUGUCAUCGCGUGUAUUGUCCUGACGUCUGUGGGAACCGGAGAGUUGCCAAGACGUAACUGUAAUCGCGUCGGUGGGAACUAGAUUAGUUCGCCAUCGCGUGUCUGUACUUUAGUCUGCGGAAACUCAAUCUGAUGUCUGUGGGAGAUGUACCUUCCAAGACAUAAUUGUGCUAUUACUGGAACUCAAGGAGUUCACUACUGUGGGUUUCUGAUCGUGAUGAAAGCAUGGAUGGGAAAUAUUGAGAGUUUGCCAUCACAUGUCUGUAGGACGUCUGUCUGUUUGGUAUGUCCUGUAUGUGCUGAUGUCUUUAGGAACAGUUGAGUUUCCAAGACAUAAAUGUGACUGAGUCAAUGGGAACAAGAUGAGUUUGUCAUUAUGGGAUUGUGAACCGGGAAGGACUGGGAGUCCGAAAGGGAAACUGUGCAAGGGAUCAAGUGUAGGAUCCGGUAAGAAAUGUCUGCAAGGAUCAAGAAUGAUCCGGAGGUGUCAAUAAAGAUCAGUAAAGAUAUGAGAAAAGCUGAUGUCGAUCAUAAGUGGUCGGGGACUGGUUAGGAUCAGGGAGGGAGUGAUCCGAGGAAAACAACUGUAAGGAUCAAGAUGAGAUCCAUGCGUUCUGAAAAGAUUAAGUUCCUAGUACUUGGAGUUAGGCCAUUCUAAGGAACACUAGAGUGCGAGAAUCAAACAGUCAAGUCAGGAUCAGACUGAGAGUGGUUGGAACUGAGUUCCGGAAGGACAAAAUCUGAGUCAAUAAGUGACUGUGAUCGGCUAAGGUUUAAGCUGGAAAACUUAGCUAAGAUAGUGAGUUAACACUUUGAGAAUUGAGGUAAACUGGUCAGCACUGUUGGGAGUCCAACAUUCUCACCAAGGUGCGUGUCCAAACACAAAGAGAGUGCUCGGAAGUAAGAACUACUAUGCCUACUGAGUUGGUGAACUGAACUGAGUCUGCUGAGAUUAAGUAUGUGGAAAGGCACUAAAUUGAGGAAAUCGAUAGCUGAAUUGAAUCCGUGAGUGGGAUUUUGACCCGAAAGUUUUGAGAACAGUAAUGGUCGAAUGACCGAAAGUAUGAGAACUAAGUUAAGGCAUGAGUGCCGUAUGUUGGAGCAAUUCUGAUUGGAUAGAACAAAGUUCUAUUAACUGCAGAAUUCGAGGACGAAUUCAUUCCAAGUGGGGGAGACUUGUAGCAUCCCCGUCCCGCAGUCUGAGCUGGAUCAGUCCAAGGUCGAGUGUUAGUUUGACUGAUCAGACGAACAAGGCAUGUGCAACAUGUCGUGUGGAUUGUAUUGGCCGGAUUAAGACUCUACUGUGGGUCUAGACAUAGUAGCUGAGCUUGACGGACUAAGCUGGUCGGAUUCAGACAAGGUAGUUGGACUUGUCUCUCGAGAGUAGUUAGUCGGCCAAAGGACUGAUUAAUAUACGUUAUGGUGGGAACGGAUACAGAGCUAAACAUGAACUGAUUAACCAAGGAAAAUGGCGGGAACAGUAUCUGGCAGUUACCGAGAGCGGUUACCGAGAGCGGUUACUAAGUGGUUACCGGAGCAGUUAAUAAGCAGUUAGCGAAGCAGUUAUAGGGCGGUUCUGAGUGGUUGCCAGACCACUUAACUGACUGGGACGGGAACUGCUAAGGUAGUUACGGAACCGAGACAGAAACUGCUCGAGGGCAGUUUAUGAAUUAAAUGGGCGCGGGAGCGGUUAUGUGGGGAAGGAAAACCGCCCAUCUGUUUCCUUUAAGGGGGAGAUCGCGGACAUCUGUCCGGGACACGAUUUUCUGGAGAGAAAUACCGAGAGAGGGGGGAAUCAAAUCGAGAGAGACAGAGAUCGCCGUGAAAGGACCGGUCGGAUCUGGUUCCGGCAGCCCGCGUCCGAGCAACGGUACGUGUUGGGUUUACUGGUGCGUACGGCGGUUAGAAGCAAGCCGCGUACUGAGAAAAGGAUAUCGCGAUAGUUCGUGAUGUAUACAAGGGUAUGUACGGUGGUUACGAACAGCGAAUCCGUGCACAAACCGAGAGAGUGGGACGAUCGGCUUGGUCUGUACGACGGGAGCCGUGUACCGGGUGCGCGCAUGGUGCUGACUGGGUUGAUGGAUCGACAAGGCGCGGGCGGUUACGAUCGAUAUAUAUGAGACUGGGAUCUAACGCUUGAGACGACAUUCAACGUACUGAAGGGAGCAAGCGAUGGACUGUCCUGUGGAUUCUGGUAGGGCUACGAGCAGUACUGGUAGCGUACGGGAACGCGAGUAUGUGUCUGGAUACGACGGUUAUGCUGUCGGACCGUGCUGUGAAUGGAUGUGGAACGUGAUACUGGCGGUUAGGGCUCAGAUCGAGUCUUAAGGUUCUGUACCGGCUAUGGUAUAGGCCGAAACUUUAUUGUUUGGUGUUGACUUAACCGAGACUUGUACUGGAUUGGAUAGUGUACUGAUGUACACGACAUCACGGGAGCGUGAUACUGGAACUGGAUGGUUUGAGGGCAGGAUGGCCGUGAGGAGAACUGACUGGAUCGAGGGCUGUGGAGCCGACCGUGUACUGACUGAUCCGGGUGUGAUCAGGGACUAGUUCUGGGGCGCUAAGCAUGGCUAGCGUACUGUCUGUUCUGGAUGGCUGGUUGGAGACCAAGCCGUCUCUCCUUGUUACUUGGGUCACGUGGGGAUGGUUGGCUGAGUGACUAAGGAACAAGGAGAUUCGGUUAAGUAUCCGAUCGAGCUAGCUGGAUAAGAUGAAUGGGAAGCAGGAAGACAGCAAGGGCGGAGUGUAUGGAUGGAUUUUUAGAUAACAAAGCACCGAGGGAGUAAGGUACAUGUUUAUUAUACUGUCUGUUGUAUUGAUUCGCUAGGAUGCUGGAUAUACUUAGCGAACACUCGGAUCUGAACUGAACCUCUUAGAGGAAAGCUGAUUAAAAACCGUAAGUAAAGCGGAUAUUUCAUAAAGGGCUAGUUUGGGUCGGGGCAAGCGAACUAAGGACGAACCGGCGGUAAGGGUAGCCGGGUCGGGCCUUACACAAUCUCAAUGUCCUAUCUUCAGGAUGUCUAAGGUUGUUCCUCAGUUAGUAGUUG